GGCUGCAAGAUAUUCCUCAACAGGAAAAUGAUGGUGAUUGUGGCAUGUUUGUUAUCAAAUAUGCUGAAUACUUAAUGCACAACCAUCCAUUGAAGUCAUUAACAAGUGCACGAAUGGACUGGUUUCGGGAAAAGAUGGUAGCAGAGUUAUUUUAUAUGAAAUACUUGCCUAUGUAAUGAAUUCAUGUUGAUAUUUCACAUUUUGAUAAUGUAGUUGGAUGGUUUGUUAUAUGUAAUUGGAUAGCUUCAUAUAUGUAGUUAGGCAUUUUGAUAAAUGUAGUUGGACAGGUUGAUAUA